rfam:Gluconacetobacter diazotrophicus PAl 5, complete genome.
CCAGAUGGUCGGGCGGCCGCUGUCGCGUGGAUUUCCCACGCGGUGGAGGAAAGUCCGGGCUCCACGGAGGAACGGUGCCGGCUAACGGCCGGCGGGGGUGACCCCAGGGAAAGUGCCACAGAAAACAGACCGCCCCCACGGCAUUCCGGUUCGCCGGAGAUGGUGCGGGUAAGGGUGAAACGGUGCGGUAAGAGCGCACCGCGCGUGCGGUAACGCAGGCGGCAGGGCAAACCCCACCGGGAGCAAGACCGAAUAGGAACGGCAGACGGACCGCCUCGCGCGGGGUCGUCGGGGGUCCCUCCGCCCCGUCGUUCGGGUUGGUCGCGUGAGGCGCGCCGCAAGGCGCGUCCCAGAGGAAUGGUCGCCCCCCUUCAUCGAAGGUGGACAGAACCCGGCUUACAGACCAUCUGGCCGU